AACGGCCGCGGUAUUCUGACCGUGCAAAGGUAGCAUAAUCAUUAGUUCUUUAAUAGGGGACUGGUAUGAAUGGCUCGACGAAGAAUUGACUGUCUCAAUUUAAUUUANUAUAACUUAGCUUUUGGGUUAAAAGGCUUAAAUUUUGUUGGAAGACGAGAAGACCCUAUAGAGCUUUAUACUUUGAUUUUUNAGUUUGGGUUUUGUUUUAUUAUUUUGGGUUAAGAUUUUACGUGUUUUGUUGGGGUGAUAUUAGAUAUACAUUUAACUUUUAUUGUUUNGUGGAACAUUGAUUUAUGANUUAUAUGAUCCAUUAUUAUUGAUCAUUAGAAUAAGUUACCUUA
rnacentral:rRNA from 1 species